rnacentral:tRNA from 1 species
CAGUAAAUAGUUUAAUUAAAAUAUUAAUUUUGGGGAUUAAAGUUGAGUAAUACUCUUUACUGA